rnacentral:rRNA from 1 species
CUACGGGUGGCAGCAGUGGGGAAUAUUGGACAAUGGGGGAAACCCUGAUCCAGCAAUGCCGCGUGUGUGAAGAAGGCCUGCGGGUUGUAAAGCACUUUCGGUUGGGAGGACUGCUUCUAGCACUAAUAUUGUUGGAAGUUGACGUUACCUUCAGAAGAAGCACCGGCUAACUCCGUGCCAGCAGCCGCGGUAAUACGGAGGGUGUAAGCGUUAAUCGGAAUUACUGGGCGUAAAGCGCGCGUAGGCGGCUAGAUCAGUCGGGUGUGAAAGCCCCGGGCUUAACCUGGGAACUGCAUCCGAUACUGUCUAGCUUGAGUACAGGAGAGGAGAGUGGAAUUCCACAUGUAGCGGUGAAACGCGUAGAUAUGUGGAGGAACACCAAUGGCGAAGGCAGCUCUCUGGCCUGAUACUGACGCUGAGGUGCGAAAGCGUGGGGAGCAAACAGGAUUAGAUACCCUCGUAGUC